rnacentral:rRNA from 1 species
AACGAACGCUGGCGGCAUGCCUAACACAUGCAAGUCGAACGAGACCUUCGGGUCUAGUGGCGCACGGGUGCGUAACGCGUGGGAACCUGCCCUUAGGUUCGGAAUAACUCCCCGAAAGGGGUGCUAAUACCGGAUAAUGUCUUAGGACCAAAGAUUUAUCGCCUUUGGAUGGGCCCGCGUUGGAUUAGCUAGUUGGUAGGGUAAAAGCCUACCAAGGCGUCGAUCCAUAGCUGGUCUGAGAGGAUGAUCAGCCACACUGGGACUGAGACACGGCCCAGACUCCUACGGGAGGCAGCAGUGGGGAAUAUUGGACAAUGGGCGAAAGCCUGAUCCAGCAAUGCCGCGUGAGUGAUGAAGGCCUUAGGGUUGUAAAGCUCUUUUACCCGUGAUGAUAAUGACAGUACCGGGAGAAUAAGCUCCGGCUAACUCCGUG